UACAGAGGUGGCAAGCGUUGUUCGGAAUUACUGGGCGUAAAGGGCGCGUAGGCGGUCUUGUAAGUCUUGUGUGAAAUCCCUCGGCUCAACUGAGGAACUGCACGGGAUACUGCGAGACUUGAGUUCUGGAGAGGGAAGCGGAAUUCCGGGUGUAGCGGUGAAAUGCGUAGAUAUCCGGAGGAACACCGGUGGCGAAGGCGGCUUCCUGGACCGAUCACUGACGCUGAGGCGCGAAAGCUAGGGGAGCAAACGGG
rnacentral:rRNA from 1 species